AACCAAAUGGUAUUUCUAAAGUAAUUGCGAAUGAAUUAGAAUUUGUUCAAUUUGACAAGUGGGGCCUUAAGCCUUGACAUGUAAUGUAAAGCUGUUUUGCCAAUGGGACAUUGAAUGUGCGCUUCUUGGAAAAGAGCAGCCAUAAGGGUGAUACUCCUUUCUGCCAUUCAUUUGUUUUUGUGUACUGCAUACAUGUGUGGAUUCACACUUUUUGGGAAUGAAGUGCAAAGAGGGUGGUAAGUUUCAUUGAAAAAUUAAUAAAAGCUUGAGACUGAUAGCGCACAAGUACCUUGAGGGAAAAAUGAAAAGGACUUUGAAAAGAAAGUUAAAAUAGCUUCAACUUGCUGAAUGGAAAGCAAACAGACAUCAUAUAUGAUUGAAAGAUUGACAUUGGGUUGUGUUUCUCAUGUUCCCAUUUGUGUUAUAUUAAUGCGGUGAUGCAUCUUUUUGUAUUGCUAACCUUAACUCAUGAACUUACAUUGCUUGGUUAUGAGUAUUGCCUGAUGGUACAACAUUGUAACCCAUGACAACUCGUGUAUAUGUUGCAUUGUUCAUUUGUUGCUUGAUUGCAUGAAUUGGCAAACACCACUGGUCAAUGCGAUGAAACACAAAACUGUUGUUGGCA
rnacentral:rRNA from 1 species